rnacentral:misc_RNA from 1 species
GAUGAAGAACGUAGCGAAAUGCGAUAAGUAAUGUGAAUUGCAGAAUUCAGUGAAUCAUCGAAUCUUUGAACGCACAUUGCGCCCGCCAGCACUCUGGCGGGCAUGCCUGUCCGAGCGUCAUUUCAACCCUCGAACCCCUCCGGGGGGUCGGCGUUGGGGAUCGGCCCUUUACGGGGCCGGCCCCGAAAUACAGUGGCGGUCUCGCCGCAGCCUCUCCUGCGCAGUAGUUUGCACACUCGCAUCGGGAGCGCGGCGCGUCCACAGCCGUUAAACACCCCAAACUUCUGAAAUGUUGACCUCGGAUCAGGUAGGAAUACCCGCUGAACUUAAGCAUAUCAAUAAGCGGAGGA